UACGUAGGGUGCGAGCGUUGUCCGGAAUUAUUGGGCGUAAAGAGCUCGUAGGCGGUGUGUCACGUCGGCCGUGAAAACCUGCAGCUUAACUGUGGGCGUGCGGUCGAUACGGGCAUCACUGGAGUUCGGCAGGGGAGACUGGAAUUCCUGGUGUAGCGGUGAAAUGCGCAGAUAUCAGGAGGAACACCUGAGGUGAAGACGGGUUGCUGGGCUGACACUGACGCUGAGGCGCGAAAGCUAGGGUAGCAAACGGG
rnacentral:rRNA from 1 species